rnacentral:rRNA from 1 species
UACGUAGGGGGCAAGCGUUGUCCGGAUUUAUUGGGCGUAAAGGGCGCGCAGGCGGUUCGUUAGGUCCGAGGUGAAAUCUCCCGGCUCAACUGGGAGGGGUCUUCGGAUACCGGCGGGCUUGAGGUGAGCAGAGGUGAGCGGAAUUCUGGGUGUAGUGGUGAAAUGCGUAGAUAUCCAGAGGAACACCAGUGGCGAAGGCGGCUCACUGGGCUCCACCUGACGCUGAGGCGCGAAAGCGUGGGGAGCGAACCGG